rnacentral:tRNA from 1 species
AAGGGUAUGGCUCAGUGGUAGAGUAUGUGCGUAGCAUGCACAAAAUCCUGGGUUCAAUCCCCAAUGCCUCCA